rnacentral:rRNA from 1 species
GCCAACAGCCACACCAGGGUUAUUCAAAAAGAACCCUCCCGUAGGGUGAACCUGCGGAAGGAUCAUUAUUGAAUAAACCUGAUGUGGCUGUUAGCUGGCUUUUCGAGGCAUGUGCUCGCCCAUCAUCGUUAUCUCUCCACCUGUGCACUUUUGUAGUCUUUGAAUACCUCUCGAGGCAACUCGGAUUUUAGGAUUGCCGUGCUGUACAAAGUCGGCUUUUCUAUCAUUUUCAAGACUAUGUUUUUCUAUACACACCAAUGUAUGUUUAAAGAAUGUCGUCAAUAGGAACUUGUUUCCUAUAAAAUUAUACAACUUUCAGCAACGGAUCUCUUGGCUCUCGCAUCGAUGAAGAACGCAGCGAAAUGCGAUAAGUAAUGUGAAUUGCAGAAUUCAGUGAAUCAUCGAAUCUUUGAACGCACCUUGCGCUCCUUGGUAUUCCGAGGAGCAUGCCUGUUUGAGUGUCAUUAAAUUCUCAACCUUUCCAGAUCUUUAUUAGUCUGGUCAGGCUUGGAUGUGGGGGUUUGCAGGUUUUUAUGAGAUCUGCUCUCCUUAAAUGCAUUAGUGGAACUUUUGUGGACCGUCUAUUGGUGUGAUAAUUAUCUACACCGUAGAUGGUAAAACAGUUUUAUAAAGUUUAGCUUCUAACUGUCUAUUGACUUGGA